rnacentral:rRNA from 1 species
UACCAGCUCUCCGAGUGGUAGGGAUGAUUAUUGGGCUUAAAGCGUCCGUAGCCGGCUUAGCAAGUCUCCUGUUAAAUUCAGCGACCUAAUCGUUGAGCCGCGGGAGAUACUACUAGGCUAGGAGGCGGGAGAGGUCAACGGUACUUCCGGGGGUAGGGGUGAAAUCCUAUAAUCCCGGGAGGACCACCAGUGGCGAAGGCUGUUGACUAGAACGCGCUCGACGGUGGGGGACGAAAGCUGGGGGGAGCGAACCGGAUUAGAUACCCGGGUAGUCCCAGCUGUAAACGAUGCGAGCUAGGUGUUGGGGUGGCUACGUGCCACUUCAGUGCCGCAGGGAGCCAUUAAGCUCGCCGCCUGGGGAGUACGGCCGCAAGGCUGAAACUUAAAGGAAUUGGGCGGGGGAGCACCACAAGGCGUGAAGCUUGCGGUUC